AUUAACAGCUAAAGUGCAGAGGCAAGAUUGGAACCCAAGUGUGACUCCAAAGCCCAGCGCCUUCUGCUUCACUCUGCUGCCUGCAUUAAGGGGCGCGUUUCAAAGUGCACAUCCCCACCUCCAGAGGUGCUGUGUUGUAAAUGAGUCACUUCCUUACUGCCAACAAUAGAGGAUGGAAUCACUAAGUCGAGGUGGAGGAAGCAGAAGGAGGGGUCAGCCCCACCCUUGCAAGACCAGGAUUGAGCCCCUCUGCCUGGAGCUGACAGCUGUGCAACUGGGCAAGAUGUGUUUUUCCUCACAUGUAAAGUGGAGAUAUUAAUACCACCUAUGCACGUAUUCCAAGCACUGACCAGCUCUGAGUUUGACAAGUGGAAGCCUUGCAGAGUUUCCUGGAUGUGCAGUAGAGAUGACAACAAUAAUGCUUGACCUAUCUUUGUCUUUGGUGAAUUAUGAAACAUC